AGCCUUGGGGUGUCCAGCACGUAAGAUUGCAAAUCUUAAAGAGCGGACUAACGUCCGCCGGGGCUU
rnacentral:tRNA from 1 species